CGUAUGUGCGGCCUGAAGAUGAAAACUAUGAAAAUGACUCUGUCCGGCAGCUGGAGAAUGAGCUCCAGAUGGAGGAAUACCUGAAACAGAAGCUGCAAGAUGAAGCUUAUCAGCUCCACGUCAGCACUGAGACCAGACUCAAGCACCCCUGUCCUGUAACCGAGACAAAAUGGCGUGUGUUAUUUUGGGGGUUUGUGUUUUUUGGUGGGUUUCUUUCCUUGGCUCUCCAGAUUUACUUUUGGGGCCUGUUCUAAGUGCAAACCCAGCAGGUUUCACUUGUCCUGUCCAUUAGAUACAACUACAUCUUGCGGGGGUUGUUUCUUUCUUGUUCCACAAUGAAUUGCACAUCCAUCUCCAUCAGAGCUGAUAGCCUGUUAAUAAGCACUGGUCUAACACAGCCAACCCUCCUCCACAGCGCCAUGUUAAUGGAGGAGGGAAGGAAGGUGAAAUCUACUGCAUGGGAUUCAGGAAACAGUUGUGGUUGGUCAGGACGGAAGUUGGGGUAAGUUUGGUUGGUCAGAGGGAGUUGUGCUGGAGAUUGUGAAAAAUGGGUUCUUGAAUGAUCUACUAUAAGGCAGGGAAGGUUCAUUUGUAAGUAGUAAUGUGAACUGAAUUGCAUUAAGAGUGUGUGGCCUUUGUUGUGAUAUACUAUGUAUUUUCUUAUAUGCAUGAGCCAAACUGUUGCAUCAUAAUUUAGCACUGAUGUCUGCUUUUAUUUUGAUCAUCUUUGUCCACCCUUAUUAGUUCUUGGCUGUUAACUGUAGAUAGAUCUUGUAAAUCCAGCAACCUUUGGUUGCUGCAUUCCCCUUGGUUCGAUUCCACGCAAGGAGCCACAAGUGAGAACUCCACUGUCCUUAGAAGAAAGGGCAUUUUUACUUUUGAACCAAAAAGAGAAAAAAAAAUCAGAAGUGUUGCAUCUUGAGGCGAAUUAACUGUAAGACAUUUUUAAUUAUG
rnacentral:sRNA from 1 species